GAUUAGCCAUAUGAGGCGCGCUAGUGGUCCAGUCAAAAAAUACAUGGGUGAUGUUGGACGGUUGCUGCAAAUCCUGGGGUGACUUUAGGAGAGGUUCUGAAAUUGUGAAGCCAACACACCUCGACAGACAUCAUAUCAUAGUUUUAUACAUGCAUGAAGAUAAUUUAUACAUUUUAUCUCGCUGCAUAUGACUUUUGCGCAGUGCUAUGUAUUGUUGAACCGGAGAAGGUCUAUUCAAUUUCUUGGAUAAAGGAAACUGGUAGUCCUGGUAUUUAUAAACUUCAGAGUGGCAGAAUGUCGUGUUUUUUGCUGUGUACAUGUACUCAGCUGUUUACCUAACUUUUCUGCAUUGUACCACCAGAAAAUAUUUGUUAUGCCAAAUAUGGAUGAUGUGUGGCUUCCCAUCAUGCACUCUGCCAUGGACACCCGUUCCAACGUUAACUUGAUCGACGGGACCGCAGCCGACUCGAGGGAGACCGAUGCCAAGGAGGCAGAGACGUCGGCUGCAUGCUUGGACUAGCUGUCACCAGCAGUGUUAGCACUGACUGAGCCACUCCAAUGCAGAAAUCACAUCGAUGCCACUGUAUCCAUCAAAAUAGCCAAUCAGAAGCCUGUCCACUCAACUGCUUCAUUUGCACUGAAGCGAGCAGCCUUACUGCACGUGUCUGUGCUCAAACAUACCAAUGCUGUGUGAUUUUAGCACACCAAACGAAUGUACAGAGAAAAAGCAAUUUAAAGAAUCACAAAUAUGUACGUCUAAAAUCUGUUUGGCCUGUGAGCUUUUUGUUUGUUGUAAAAUAAUCCUGAUGUUAAUUUAUUUUUAUGAAGCCAUUUCUUAAAUAGCAAAGGCUACAGAGUGCAGAUUAUGCAAAUUAUUGGUGUGGGAGAACCGCGAAUUGCAAGACCGACAGAUAUAUAAUGUUUUAAAUAGUUUACAUUAGUGUGACAUACAAAGAUUGUAUAUUGGCAAUACUCUGGUCAAAACUGUGGGUUAGUUUCCCAUAUUACAGUUCUGUCUAGAAUACAGUGUUGCCAUGACAUUUUCAUAUGGGUGCAUUCUUUAUUGAUUUAAUGUAACAAAAGAUUCUACUUUAAAAUGGUUAAAUACCACUGUGUGCAGACCUUCAAAACAAAGCAUUAUUGGUCUAGUGUUUUCCCAUUUAUCGUUAAAAGAUUCUCCUCUAUCUCAAUAAUUCAAUGUAGACAAUGCUACACUGCAUCACCAGGCUUAUAUUUUUGCUGCACUUCCAAGCCCAGUACAGAUGUCUUAUCUCCUUCCUCAGAGUAAUAGGUAUAAUUUUGUACCUUAAACUGCAGAACUAUAUUAAGCAAUUCUAUUGGGCAUAAUAUUUUUCAUGUUAAUUACAUCACAAGUGUAACCCCUCCCCUUUCUUUUUAUACAAUAAAAGCAUAAGGCACAACUGUCUUUCUCCCUCUAGAACAAUGUUUCCCAAUCCGGUCCUCGGGGACCCACCGACAGUCCACAUUUUUGCUCCCCCCUGAGUCCGGUCAGAGAGCUGGGAAGGAGCAAAAAAUGUGGACUGUCUGGCAUGGAGCUGGGAGAAAGCAAGGGCGUGGACCAAUUGUGGGUCUCUGAUGACUGGACUGGGAAGCACUGCUUUAGAAUUUCUGAAUGAGCCAUAUUAAAGUGUAUAAAUUAAAUGAUUUCAAA